UACGAAGGGGGCUAGCGUUGUUCGGAAUCACUGGGCGUAAAGGGCGCGUAGGCGGCUUUAUAAGUCGGGGGUGAAAGCCUGUGGCUCAACCACAGAAUUGCCUUCGAUACUGUAGAGCUUGAGACCGGAAGAGGUAAGUGGAACUGCGAGUGUAGAGGUGAAAUGCGCAGAUAUCAGGAAGAACACCAAUGGCGAAAGCAGCUCUCUGGGACGGUACUGACGCUGAGACGCGAAAGCGUGGGGAGCGAACAGG
rnacentral:rRNA from 1 species